rnacentral:lncRNA from 1 species
GUUCCGUUGCUCCUCAGAGGCUGUACCCGCAGGCGGCUUGGGAGAGGUGGGUUCGGCCCCUCAGCGGUUGCACUUCCUAGGUCUGUGCGGCCCAGCGCGACAGGAACCUGCGCUGUGCUGUUGUUUCUCAGACUAUUUUUAGGAAUAGGCGGAUCGGCGCGUUCAGGUAACAAUUGAUGAUGAAUGAUCCAUGUCUUCAAGAAUGCAAGUAACACUGUAGAGAGAGGAAAGCUCAUCAGUGGCCAUGUAAGUGUAUGAACUGCCCAGACAUGUUCUUCAGAUUCUGGAAGGGAGUGUUCUAGUAUAUUUCACCAUCACCUUUACAGGAUGGAAGCCAUCAGUUUGUCCCAUGGCUUAUUUUCUAGGAACCCAGGCUACUUUCAUAAUGAAAAGACAGAGAUGGAAAAGAGGGUGUCUGACUGCUGGACAAACAGUUACCAGGUGUGACUAAAGCAUAUCCUGCCAUUAUGCCGAAAGGCUGACACAUUCCAUGUAGGCAGACCUUUCCUCCAGAGCUUCUGGAAGGAAAUAAAACUCCUUCAAGGACUGAGUGAUUAGCUGUAUUUCUUCAUGACUAUUUGUAAGCCAGAAUAAAUCCUUUCUCCCUG